rnacentral:rRNA from 1 species
UACGUAGGGUGCAAGCGUUGUCCGGAAUUAUUGGGCGUAAAGAGCUCGUAGGCGGUCUGUCGCGUCUGCUGUGAAAACCUAGGGCUUAACUCUGGGCGUGCAGUGGGUACGGGCAGGCUAGAGUGCGGUAGGGGAGACUGGAAUUCCUGGUGUAGCGGUGAAAUGCGCAGAUAUCAGGAGGAACACCGAUGGCGAAGGCAGGUCUCUGGGCCACUACUGACGCUGAGAAGACGAAAGCAUGGGGAGCGAACAGG